rnacentral:lncRNA from 1 species
GCUGGGGUGGCUCUAUGGGGUGGGGUGAGCAUGUUAUGGGGAUUGACGGGGGGCCAAUGUGGGGUUGGGGUGAUGCUGAGGGGUCACGGGGGCACCCCAGAGGGUCAAUGUGGGGCUGGGCUCACCCUAUGGGGUGAUAAGAUCACCCUACAGGGAUGCUAUGGGAACGGGGGUCACCCCCUAUACUUAUGGGGCCACGUUAACCCCUCUCAUCCCCCCCCACUGCCCCACAUCACCCCACAGUCGAGGACUGGGAGUGCUUCCAGGCCAUCUUGGACCACACUUAUGGCAAACACGUCAAGUCAGAGCCAGGCCUGCACCCCGUCCUCAUGUCUGAAGCGCCGGUACGACCCCCCCCCACCCCACAUCACCCCACAACCCCGCCCCACACAUUGCGCCCGUCCCCCAAACCCCACACGCUGUACCUCCUGCCCCAUAGUGGAACACGAGGGCCAAGAGGGAGAAGCUGACGGAGCUGAUGUUCGAGCACUACAACAUCCCAGCUUUCUUCCUCUGCAAAACGGCCGUCCUCACCGCGUAUCCCAACCCCCCCCCUUCCAUCCAGCCCCCCUACAGAUAUGGGGCGGCCGUUGGGGGUGGGCUGUGAGGGUUGGGGGGGGGUGUCUUCGUUAACGCAGCCCUUAACGAGGGGAGCACAGCUUUGCCAACGGGCGCAGCACGGGGUUGGUGUUGGACAGCGGAGCCACGCACACCACGGCCAUCCCAGUGCACGACGGGUACAUCCUGCAGCAAGGGAUCGUGAAGUCGCCGUUGGCCGGGGAUUUCAUCUCCAUGCAGUGCAGGGAGCUGUUCCAGGAGAUGAACAUCGACAUCGUGCCGCCCUACAUGAUCGCUGCCAAGGUGUGGGGCAGGGCUCAGCCCCACCGCCCGCCCCCCAGCACCGCGGGAAGCCUAUCGGAGAGCAGGAAAGCGCCAAGCCCCGCCCACUUAGGGGGAGGAGGGGCGGGGAUACGUUUGGCCACGCCCACUCCCUUAUCCCAGUGGCAGCCCCUCCCCAAAGCCACGCCCCCUUCGCGCCCCCUCGCUUCCUAUUGGCAAAGUCGUGCCGAGGUCACGCCCCCUUUGUAUCGAAGCCACGCCUACCUAUGCCGAAACCACGCCCCCAUCCACUGCUGCCCGCCCCGAAGCCACGCCCCCGCUUGAAACCCCGCCCCUUUUUGCUGACAGCCCGCCCCCUUUCCUUGAGGACACGCCCCCUUUUGAUGCCCCGCCCCCUUUCCGGAAGCUCGCGGCUUUUUCCUUAAGCCACGCCCCUUUCCCAGACGCCUCUUUUUCAUUGGUUACACCAUACCUCCAUUUCCCCACGCCCCGCCCCCAUUGGUGAGGCCACGCCUCUUUAUUCCGACGCCCCGCCCUCUUCUCCAAAGUCCCGUCCCCAUUGGUUACA